AAGUGCCUGUACCAUAAACCGACACAGGUGGGUAAGUAGAGAAUACUAAGGGGCGCGAGAUAACUCUCUCUAAGGAACUCGGCAAAAUAACCCCGUAACUUUGGGAGAAGGGGUGCCUAUUUAGGCUGCAAUAACAAGGUCCAAGCGACUGUUUACCAAAAACACAGGUCUCCGCAAAGUCGCAAGACAAUGUAUGGGGGCUGACGCCUGCCCAGUGCCGGAAGGUUAAGGAAGUUGGUUAGCUUUAUGCGACGCUAGCGACUGAAGCCCCGGUGAACGGCGGCCGUAACAAUAACGGUCCUAAGGUAGCGAAAUUCCUUGUCGGGUAAGUUCCGACCUGCACGAAUGGCGUAACGAUGGGGGCGCUGUCUCUACCCGAGACUCAGUGAAAUUGAAAUCGCAGUGAAGAUGCUGUGUACCCGCACCUAGACGGAAAGACCCCGUGAAC
rnacentral:rRNA from 1 species